AACGAGAACGAGAACGAGAACGAGAACGAGAACGAGAACGAGAACGAGAACGAGAACGAGAACGAGGAGAACCGAGAACCGAGAACCGAGAGCAAGAACAAGAACAAGAACAAGAACGAUAACGACGACAACGACAACAACAACAACAACAAAAACGUUACUGGAUUGCCACCAAGUUCACUGACAGUGGAACUGGACUGCUUUCUCUGACUUGUAAAAUGAAAAAUGGAGAAUUAUUCUGGCCCCAUCCCUGGUUAGAUAUAAUUACAUGAAGUGACAAAGGGGCCCAGCUUACUUAUCGAGCACUGCUGCUAUGCAAACAAUGCUUUCUGGGUUCCAGAAUGGCAACCGAGGAGCUGUAGGAACUCUGCAGACACAUCCGUCCAGUGUGCAAUGCUAAGAAGAGGAGAAGCUAGACAGAGUAUCGCUACUAGAAGUACUGGUGGCUGAGAUGAGACCAACGCCUGAGUCAGCUGGCAGAAACGGUCCUGAUCAUUGUUUGGGAUACCAUUAAACCACACCAGAGCCUGGUCCCUCAGCUCUUCUGGGAACUCUGUGGUCUGCACACUAUUCAUUUGCAUUGAUAUCAGCCAGAUAGCUUUUGUUGCUUGCCAUUAAGUUCCCUGGUUGACAUAGUGCUCACCCACCUGAGUGCAUUCACACCGUAGGCACACACGCCUUCUCUCCCUGUUGUAUGUUUUAUCCUCUUCUUACCAGGAGCAAUGUUGUGGUCCAGAGCUACAGACAGCUACGAGGACUUAAGAAUACAGCAUCCUUUUCAUUUUCCCCCAGCAUCCUCAUAAAAGCUGAUGGAACAAGAAGGAGCAAUACUCUGCUCUGGUUGUGUUGAUAGCCUUAAGUUCUGCUUGCCCUUCCACUAAAGCAGGGUGCUGGCCAAAGUCAGUGGGAAUUGUAUUUGUCUAACUAAAGGCAUUGCUCAACCCAGAGAGAGUGGAGAACAAUUGAGCAUAUAACUUAUAAUGUAUUCCGCUGUCAGAUUCAAGUUUGGAAAACGAAUAAAUAAGGAGGAUAGAAAUUGAAUGCUGGGGUCAAUCUGCAUCUUAGUCACAGACUGCUGAGGAGUGGGCCGAGUGUCCUACGGCAUGCAGCUUGGCUCAUUUUCACGGGGGAGGGGUCUUGUGAGGGCUUCAGCAUAACUGAGAGUAUCUGUCUCCCACUGCCGUGUUCAAACUGACCAAGCAAACAUUGACCUAACCUCAGGUGCCAUCAUUCAGUUAGACAGAGCUAUAUAGGGUUAUCCAGAGAUUUCCAGGGGACAUGACCUUCCUGGUGGAUAGUCAGAGUGUGAGGGUCAGCAGAGACUAGUCAUUGGGUGGCCACGAUCAGCAACAGCGUUUUGAUGAAGGAUACAGGCUGCUGUUUAACUCCCUGCACAAAGCAGACCUAAUGGGUUAGACCCUAAUCCUAGAAAUGGUGUGGACUUAAGAGGUAGAUAAUGAAGGUUAAAAAACAAACAAACAAACAAAAAGACAAAACAAAAACAAAACAACCUUGGCUUUUGCCAUUUAUGAGUGACUUUAGGCUAAUGAUCCAAAAGGAUUUCUGUUUAAACAUCUGGAAAUAAGAAUACUGAUACUCUUUCAGAGUUUAGAGGAAUUAAAAGUAACAAAUAUCCAAAGUUUGUACUGUAGUAUCUAGCAAGGAGGGCCUCAGCUCAUUUCUCCCUGUUGUCCCCUUGCUAGCUCAUACAUUUAUGGAAAGUCCUGAUGUGCACUGGGCUGCAUUCAAGGCAUUAGGGAUAUAGUGAUACAUGUGGCAGAUAAUGACCCUUUCUGUGGUAUGAAGCAUGAGACUUAUGAACUUCUGGGGGGCAGGAAAGUCAUAUCUACUUCCUGCCUGUGUAAGGUGGGUACUUGAUGCAUGUGUGGGGCUGGAUGAAAUGACAAUGUGACACACUUCAGUAAAACCUAAGCAGCUCUGUCUGACGUGCUUCCUCCUACAGGAUCAUCUCUCUAUGUUCUGACAUUUGUCCCGUGUCCUCUUCCGUAGCACUCACUUAUCUCCAUUACCCUUCCAUGUCUCUCUGGCUCUAUUACCUCUGGGCUGAAGCUGGAGAACUUUUCAAUAAAUUUGUAUGUCUUCGACUGAGUUUUAAGAAUGCGUCAUGUCCUGAAGGUCACCUUCCCUGAACCUCUCUUCCAGAAAUCGAGCUCCUUCCUGCCAUCUCCUCCACCUGAUUAUUCAAUCUCCCCAAGAAGACGGAUGGCAUGCAUGGCAGAGUGGCUGCCUAACAAGGCGGCCCGCAGCAUCUUUAGGAAGCCUUUGUUCCUGCCGACUUCCUUCUCUGACCUUCUUGUCCUUUCACCAGACUGCCUUUCACUGGCCACACACUGUGUAUAGCGCGCGCGCACACACACACGCGCACACACAGCACAUUUGGAAUGAAAGGAUACAGAAAUAAGAUGUAGAAUUCCCAUCCUCUAGCAGCAAAUGAUCAAGUUUGGGACUUAUGGAUGCUACAUGGGGAAAUCAAGGUUUAGAUGGCUAGACAAUUAUUCAGCUAUCUUCUGAACAAGUGUUUCUGAGUACCCAGUUCUUGGACCAUUGUUAUGAGAAUCCCCGGGACAUUUUUUUCCAGUACAAUGUCCUUGGUUCCUCCUGUAAUUAUCGACUCAGGCCCUUCGUAGUCAUAGGAACCAACAUCCCUAGAAUCUUCAGUGUAAACAAAUACCCCAAGUGGUUCUUCAAAACCUGGGGGAGGAGGCUUAUGCCUUGUCUUUACUGCUGAAUGAAUCUCCAAUUCUUCCGUGUUUCCUCACGGGACAUAAUUCCCAGGUUCUCCUCAUUUGUAAUUGACUGUCUAAGAUGUCACUCUCAGAGGGGGCCACUGCUCCUCCAGCUGUGAGCACAUGAGCAGAGGGCACCACAGGCUUCAAGCAUCUCCAGUAUGAAUGCACUACCUGCUACAGAGAAAGUCAAACAGGGUGUAACUAUGUCACACUGCUGGCUGCUAUUAAGAUUUCAACAGAACGACUCCAGCCACUCUCCAUUAGGACUCUGAAAUACACUUGACAGAAGAUGUGUUCAUCAAAUUUGAGAGCAGUGCAAUAUCACAAAGAGAAGGUAGAUUAUGAAAUUCUAAUGGUAUGUGUUUUUUUUUCCUUUUAUAAGAUGGUGUUAAUUCCUCCUGAGUCAAUGGUACCUUCCAGUGCUCACAGAUAAUUUUCUGGGUAGCUACAAACCAUUGAAGGCUUCUCUUACAGAGCCCUCUUCUGGAGCAGUGUUCUUGUCUACUGUCCUUUAGUUUCUUUUGUCUGUCUGUCUGUCUGUCUGUCUGUUUGUCUGCCUGCCUGUCCAUUUUCCAGUCAGGGUUUCUCCGUGUAACCUCCCUGGCUUUCCUGGAACUCACUUUGUAGACCAGGCUGGCCUCUACCUCACAGGGAUCCUCCUGCCUCUGCCUCCCAUGUGCUGGAUUUAAGGUGUGUGCCGCUGUGCCCAACUUUAGUUACUUUUACCUCAAAGAAAACAUCACAGCAUUUUUUUCAGAUCCCAUUAGUUCUAAGACCAUGUCUUCAAAUUGUUUCAAGAUCCAGGGAGUUCACUUCAUCGGGUCUAGUCCUCAGAUUUGUCGUUUUAAUUGAAAACACGUUUUAAGUUAAAAAACAGUUAUUGUUGUUGUUAUCAGAGUGCACGCAUGUGUGUGUGUGCGUGUGUAUGUGUGUGUGUGUGUGUGUGUAAUAUGUGUGAGUGUGCCAAGCUUAUUCUCAUUUAACUAUGAAAAGCAUUUGUAGGAAACAAAACAAAACAACAAAACAACCAAACAAUAAAGAAAAGAAAACAGUAGCAACGGAGAUGAUGUGUCUCUCUCUGCACUGGUUUGCACUGAGGGAAAGCUGCCCCCUCCCUUUUUUUCCAAUUCUUCCUUGAACCCUAAAACUUUCCAUUUCUUCACUUCCCAUGAUCCUCCUCCUCCUCCUCCUCUCUCUCUCUCUCUCUCUCUCUCUCUCUCUCUCUCUCUCUCUCUCUUCCUCUCUCUCUCUCUCUCCCCCCCCCCCUUUUCUUUCUUCUAGCCUCACCUCAUUUCCGGCUCUUCAUGCCACUGAGCACCAUUGUCACAGUCAUCUGCUCCUCUUUUGUCCUCAUCCGUUGCUAGGUGCUUGCCUUUCACCCUUUGUGCUUGUGGCCUUCACACCUGAGCUUCUGAGAGUCUGUGCAGCCAUGUUGGUUUCUCCAGAGGCCGCACUCUUACCUUCUAUACCAGAGUCAUUUAUGUGGUACCAUCUAAACAGGUUUUACUUUUGGAACUUGUCAUGUUGUUAGAGCAUUUUUUCCUCACAUCACCCCACCCCCCGCUUUGGUAGUUUGCUUUUUCCUUUUCUGUAGACAUCAGUGGUAGUCCCAAACUUAGGACAGGUUGCUUACCACACCCAGUGUCUUGUGUUUUGUCACAAAUUCCUGGAAGUAUUAUGUGUUUUCUAAGGGUCUCUGUAAAUGUAUUCAUUUAUCCCUAUAUUCUUUCAACGCACAUCUCUCAAGUGUCCAUUAAAUGCCUGUCAAGUCUGUGGAGAGGUUUACUCCUUGUUGGCACAACGCCUGGCACAUAUUGAAUGUUUGAUAAAUAUUUGUUGAAAAAGUGAAAAAGAGUUAGACUUAAGCCUAGAGUAGCAGAGCCUUCCAUUGAUCUCCUCCCCAGCCCCAACACACACACAACUUUCUGAGCUAUCAGGCUGCCUGUCAGGUAAUUAAAAAAUAUGUCAGGAAUUCCGUGUUAACGGGAUGAGCCUUCCAGCACACAUCCAAAGAGCCAAGGACCUCCCUGCUGUAACUGGCUCCUGGGGCCAGUUGAUGUUUUGGAUUAACAAAAAGCACCACAACCAGUCUAAGACAUAAUCAGUGGGAGAAAUCACUUCAAUUCCACAUCCAUUCCUGCUUGUGCGUGUGUGCAUGUGUGCAUACGUGUGUAUGAGUGUUUGUGUGUGUGUUUGUGUGUGUGCGUGUGAGUGCACGUGUGCGUGUACAUGUACAUGUGCUCUCUCUCGAGCAUGUUCACUUAACUUCUCCCUGUGAUGCAUACCAUCCCGUGGGAUUUCUGAACCAGGAUUACGCUGCUCUGGUGUGUGUGUGUGUGGGCAACAUCUUUGCCAACGCCGUGGCCCACUCAGAAGUGCCUCCUACCAACUCAGACAUCAGGUCCAGGUAACUGCAGCUGACAUUCUGCAGCAUUAGACUUUCAUACUACAUUAAUUUAUUAUUAUUCACCAGGGGUAGGCAAUAAAUCAUGCUGUUCUUUCAGAAUGGCUUCUGAUCGCCUUCUCCAACGCUUUCUUGGAAGGUCACAUAUACUUCUUCCUCCUCUGUGUGUGUGUCAUAUCUUUUCCUGUAAGGUGGGCGUGUUUUUCUCCUUCCUGAUUUCAAAUGUCAGUUUAAAGCUCUGCUAGUUAGGAUCCUUCUGUCAUUACCUAUGGAAUCUCUGCAAACAACCUAUAUUCAUCUUUUUUUUUUCCCUCUUGGUCCUUUGCAGCAAUGACCCUCUACAGAGAAGCCUGCUAGUGACCUUGCAAGGCUUCCUGGACAUUACUACUUUCCCAGGAAGCACAAUGUAUUAAAUUCCGGUGCUGCCAAUGACCUUCAGGUCACUUAGCAGGGACAUGCCAAACUCCUUGCCUCUUCAAUAGGCUGCAUGCUCUCCUGCUUCCAGACUCCAGCACGUGUUACCCCACACGCUCCUUCAAUGCUCCCACAUCUCAAUCCUUGACCACCUGCUUAGCUACCUUCAGUUCAGCCUUGGAGCUUCGCCUCAAGCUUUCUUGCCACCACCCCGACUAUCUGCCCCCACAGAAGGCUCUCAGUUGAGUUGGAGAGGCAUCAAGACAACAAGCUGGAUGGGACUGAACACAUGAUGCAGGAGAAUAGGCACAGUACAUCCAGGGAGAGGAAAGAACAAAAUGGCUGAGCAGGAAUCAGAAGGCAGCUUCAUGAA